rnacentral:lncRNA from 1 species
UUAGAUUAGCCUUAAUUCAGCAAGCUACACGCGUUCCAAACGUGUGGCCCACUCAGCUUCAUGGCCUUCACUCUCUCAGGCACACGUCAAUAGACAUCUCUCUCCUUUUAACAAUGAAUCACGUGAAAAAAUAUGAGGACCUGUCUCGUGGAAACAAAAAAAUUCUCUCUGAAAAAAAAUCAAUGAAUUCUACUCUUCUCAUUUUUUGGUGCAGAAAAUUCUCCAAGUCUUAAAACCCAUAACUGAGUCGCCACCUUAACCACCCUUCACCGAUAAAACACGACC